UCAAGCUACAAAGAGCACAAGGGGAAUGCCUUGGCACCGAGAGCCGAAGAAGGACGUGACUAACUGCGAUAAGCUACGGGGAGCUGUAAGUGAGCGUUAUAUCCGUAGAUUUCCGAAUGGAGCAAUCCGAUUAGAGGAAAGUCUAAUCAUCAUAUACUGAAUACAUAGGUAUAUGAGGGGAACCGCCUGAACUGAAACAUCUAAGUAGGGCGAGGAAGAGAAAUCAACUGAGAUUCCGUAAGUAGUGGCGAGCGAACGCGGAAGAGGCCAAACCUAAUGUAGUAAUAUGUUAGGGGUUCGGACAGUAUAAUGAAUUGUCGAAAUUUAGCCGAAUGUCAUGGGAAGGGCAAUCAAAGAUGGUGAAAAUCCAGUAGGCGAAAAGUUAAGACAUCAGACUGUAUCCAGAGUACCGCCGGACACGUGAAACCCGGUGGGAAUACGGGGGGACCAUCCUCCAAGCCUAAAUACUACUCGGUGACCGAUAGAGAAGAAGUACUGUGAAGGAAAGGUGAAAAGCACCCCGGAAGGGGAGUGAAAGAGAACCUGAAACCUUGUGUUUACAAGCACCGAAAGUUCAUCAACGAACGAUCGGGUACCUUUUGUAGAAUGGUCCGGCGAGUGAAUGUAACUGGCAAGGUUAAGCACUUAAGGUGUGAAGCCGUAGCGAGAGCGAGUCUGAAGAGGGCGCAUGAAGUCAGUUGUAUUCGACCCGAAACCGGGUGACCUACCCAUGUCCAGGCUGAAGUGCAGGUAAAACUUCAUGGAGGGCCGAACCGACUCCCGUUGAAAUGGUAGCGGAUGAGGUGUGGGUAGCGGAGAAAUUCCAAUCGAACCCGGAGAUAGCUGGUUCUCUCCGAAAUAGCUUUAGGGCUAGCCUUGGAAUAGAUUACUGGAGGUAAAGCACUGAAUUGGCUAGGGGCCGAGAGGUUACUGAACCUUAUCAAACUAAGAAUGCCAGAUAAUCGUUUUCCAGGAGUCAGACAGUGGGAGAUAAGUUUCAUUGUCAAAAGGGAAACAGCCCAGACCUACAGCUAAGGUCCCAAAGUAUAGUUAAGUGGAAAAGGAUGUGGAAUUGCAUAGACAACCAGGAUGUUGGCUUAGAAGCAGCCACUCAUUAAAAGAGUGCGUAAUAGCUCACUGGUCGAGUGAUUCUGCGCCGAAAAUUUAACGGGGCUAAACUAUACACCGAAGCUUAGGAUACCGCAAGGUAUGGUAGGAGAGCGUUCUGUACGGAGUGAAGUCGUAGCGAAAGCGGCGGUGGACUGUACAGAAGUGAGAAUGCCGGAAUAAGUAGCGAGAAUUAAGUGAGAAUCUUAAUGGCCGAAAGUCUAAGGUUUUUGGAGGAAGGUUCGUCCGCUCCAAGUAAGUCGGGAGCUAAGGUCAGGCCGAAAGGCGUAGCCGAUGCACAAACGGUUGAUAUUCCGUUACCGUCUACAAUUUAAACAAGGGGACACAUACAAAGCGUUUAACCCGGGCGAUGGUUGACCCGGGCGCAAGGGACUGAAAUUAGAGUAGGGAAGUAAAUGUAGCGUAUGGCGAGAAAAGCUUUGUGUAUAGAAGUAGACGCCCGUACCGCAAACCGACACAGGUGGACAGGAAGAGAAUUCUAAGGCCAGCGGGAGAAGGGUAGUUAAGGAACUCGGCAAAUUGACUCCGUAACUUCGGAAUAAGGAGUGCUCGAAAGAGCCGCAGAGAAUAGGCCCAGGCGACUGUUUAGCAAAAACACAGGUCUCUGCCAAAUCGAAAGAUGAAGUAUAGGGGCUGACACCUGCCCGGUGCCGGAAGGUUAAGAGGAGGAGUGCAAGCUCCGAAUUGAAGCCCCGGUAAACGGCGGCCGUAACUAUAACGGUCCUAAGGUAGCGAAAUUCCUUGUCGGGU
rnacentral:rRNA from 1 species